GACCGCGUAGCUCAGUUGGAAGAGCAUUGGGCUAGUAUUCCAAAGGUCGUAGGUUCGAAUCCCGCUGUGGCCA